UGGGGAAUCUUGCGCAAUGCGCGAAAGCGUGACGCAGCAACGCCGCGUGGGGGAAGACGGCCUUAGGGUUGUAAACCCCUUUCAGGAGGGACGAAGGUUCACCGGUUAAUAGCCGUGUGGAUUGACGGUACCUCCACAAGAAGCACCGGCUAACUACGUGCCAGCAGCCGCGGUAAUACGUAGGGUGCAAGCGUUGUCCGGAAUCAUUGGGCGUAAAGCGCGCGUAGGUGGCCAUUUAAGUCCGCUGUGAAAGUCAAAGGCUCAACCUUUGAAAGCCGGUGGAUACUGGAUGGCUAGAGUACGGAAGAGGCGAGUGGAAUUCCUGGUGUAGCGGUGGAAUGCGCAGAUAUCAGGAGGAACACCAAUAGCGAAGGCAGCUCGCUGGGACGUUACUGACACUGAGGCGCGAAAGCGUGGGGAGCGAACA
rnacentral:rRNA from 1 species